rnacentral:rRNA from 1 species
UACGUAGGUGGCAAGCGUUGUCCGGAUUUAUUGGGUUUAAAGGGUGCGUAGGCGGCUUAUUAAGUCAGUGGUGAAAUACUCUAGCUCAACUAGAGGGGUGCCAUUGAUACUGAUGAGCUUGAGUACAGAUGAGGUAGGCGGAAUUGACGGUGUAGCGGUGAAAUGCUUAGAUAUCGUCAAGAACACCUAUAGCGAAGGCAGCUUACUAGGCUGUAACUGGCGCUGAGGCACGAAAGUGUGGGGAUCAAACAGG